rnacentral:lncRNA from 1 species
AUGUUGUUGAACAAAGGAACAAUGUCAAUGACUACUACUGGACAUUCAACACUGUGUACUAGUCAUGUCAAUGUGAGGAAUGCUCUCUUUCCAUUCCCUUUUCUUUCUAUCCUACAGAAUUCCCAUUUUCUUCACAAAACUGCAAAGAUGGGUCAGCAACAACUGCCUGAUAUCAGUAUCAUUACAAAAAAAAUUGUUUUCAACUCUUCCAGAACUCUUGUCUCAGGACUGGAAGUUUUUUUACUCAUGCUUGGAGAUCUGCUGAGAAAUCCAGAGAGGAUUGUGAUUCAGAGAGCAGCUGAUUGAUUCACCUCUUCCUGUUCUCACUCAGAGGCCACAGUACGUAAGCAGAAGGUCACAGGCCGUAUGGGAUGGAAGCCAUGCUCCAAAAUAAGUACUUUCCUCAGAAUGCAGGCAGAGGGGAACAUCAAGAUAUGUGCCUCUUCUUGUGUUCAAUUCAACACGGAAUUUGGCUUGAGUGCAGCAGAAAUGUUUUUGGACACUGAGUAAUAUCACAAUUCCACAGUAAGCAAGUAAAAGGAAGUACUGUCAUUAUAUUUAAUGAUUCCUACAUUUAAAAAUAUCUGUGAAAAUUCUUGACACAGCAAGGAAACACAAAAGAUACAGCAAUUGUUUGGAAUUAAAAUUUGUAUACAAAUAUUCAAGAAAGUCUGGGCUGAGUUUGUAUCCAACUCAAAAUAUAAUUUCACUAUGCUUUACAGGCACUUGGAUCUAGUAGGUAUGUGACUACCCAAAGCAGGCAGAAUUGUUUAAUUUAGCUUUCUAUAUACAACCUGUAAGUUAGGAACAGCAGACAGUACUCUGCAAUUUUACUGAUUGUUGUCUGUUUACCAUAAUUACAGAGGUAUUUUAAACUUCCGCAUUUUGUUGUAGGCAUAAUAUUAGGUAGGGAAUAGCAGCAGAACAUUUUGAGUAGUCUGUUAUUGCGGAUACAUCCUGAGGACUAGCUGAUGCUAUUUUUAGUCACUAUGUGGUUAACUGUGACUAGACUGAGG